UACGGGAGGCAGCAGUGGGGAAUAUUGCACAAUGGGCGCAAGCCUGAUGCAGCCAUGCCGCGUGUAUGAAGAAGGCCUUCGGGUUGUAAAGUACUUUCAGUCGUGAGGAAGGUGUUAAGGUUAAUAACCUUAGCAAUUGACGUUAGCGACAGAAGAAGCACCGGCUAACUCCGUGCCAGCAGCCGCGGUAAUACGGAGGGUGCGAGCGUUAAUCGGAAUUACUGGGCGUAAAGGGCACGCAGGCGGUUAAUUAAGUUGGAUGUGAAAUCCCCGGGCUUAACCUGGGAAUGGCAUUCAAGACUGGUUAGCUAGAGUCUUGUAGAGGGGGUAGAAUUCCAUGUGUAGCGGUGAAAUGCGUAGAGAUGUGGAGGAAUACCGGUGGCGAAGGCGGCCCCUGGGACAAAGACUGACGCUCAUGUGCGAAAGCGUGGGGAGCAAACAGGAUUAGAUAC
rnacentral:rRNA from 1 species